UGGCAAGUCCUGCACAACGUGCUCCUGUCGAAUCCCCCAGGGUGGGAACGCAGCAAGGGUAGAUGGUUGAGCUGUGUGAUGCAGGUAGCUUGCCUUUU
rnacentral:SRP_RNA from 1 species